GAUGAACGCUGGCGGCGUGCCUAAUACAUGCAAGUCGAGCGAACGGACGAGAAGCUUGCUUCUCUGAUGUUAGCGGCGGACGGGUGAGUAACACGUGGAUAACCUACCUAUAAGACUGGGAUAACUUCGGGAAACCGUAGCUAAUACCGGAUAAUAUUUUGAACCGCAUGGUUCAAAAGUGAAAGACGGUCUUGCUGUCACUUAUAGAUGGAUCCGCGCUGCAUUAGCUAGUUGGUAAGGUAACGGCUUACCAAGGCAACGAUGCAUAGCCGACCUGAGAGGGUGAUCGGCCACACUGGAACUGAGACACGGUCCAGAAUCCUACGGGCGGCAGCAGUAGGGAAUCUUCCGCAAUGGGCGAAAGCCUGACGGAGCAACGCCGCGUGAGUGAUGAAGGGCUUCGGAUCGUAAAACACUGUUAUUAGGGAAGAACAUAUGUGUAAGUAACUGUGCACAUCUUGACGGUACCGAAUCAGAAAGCCACGGCUAACUACGU
rnacentral:rRNA from 1 species